GAUGAACGCUGGCGGCGUGCCUAAUACAUGCAAGUCGAACGAGGUGCCUUUGUAGCAAUACGAAGGUAUCCUAGUGGCGAACGGGUGAGUAACGCGUUGGUGACCUACCCCAAAGUGUGGGAUAACAGAUCGAAAGAUCUGCUAAUACCGCAUGUGGUCUUCGGAUUUAGAAACUGAUGACUAAAGGAGCAAUUCGCUUUGGGAGGGACCUGCGUCCCAUCAGCUAGUUGGUGAGGUAAUGGCUCACCAAGGCUACGACGGGUAGGGGACCUGAGAGGGUGGCCCCCCACAAUGGAACUGAAACACGGUCCAUACACCUACGGGUGGCAGCAGUAGGGAAUAUUGCACAAUGGGCGAAAGCCUGAUGCAGCAACGCCGCGUGUGCGAUGAAGGCCUUCGGGUCGUAAAGCACUUUUCUGAGGGAUGAGCAAGGACAGUACCUCAGGAAUAAGUCUCGGCUAACUACGUGCCAGCAGCCGCGUUAAU
rnacentral:rRNA from 1 species